CACAUCGGUUCUUGUCCAUCUCAUUAUACACAGUUUUCUUCAAUAUACGGCUUAAAUGAAGAGGGAACCAGCAAAGAGCAAAAAUUACAACCAAGCAGAAAACUGUUUUUGCCACUUCUCGACGCUAAAGGAAAGUGAGAAAAAAAUAGGACAACAAAUUUAGUGUUUUUAUACUAGAUGCAAGAACUACAGUACCAAGAAGUAGCAGACACUAGAGAAAGAAUAAUUCAAAGAAGAGCCAGGAGAACAGCCUGGCUUACAUUGCCUCUACCUCUUCAAGAUUCUAAGAUGAAAAGCUGAAGCUCAGAAAAAUCAGUAUAGUAGCUGAAGAGUUGCUGAUGAGGAAUUAUGCUUGCACAUGGGUACCAUGACGAAGCCAAUCGCUUCAGGAAUGGCCAGGAUGAAGGACAGGAUCCAGAUGGAGACAAUUUCAAUGGCAGUUACCAAAGGAAUCCCAAUUCCCUGAACACGACUCCAGGAGGCAACUGCUCUGUACCUGAAAAAAAGGUUCCAGGUCUCGCCUCUGAAAGGAGCCUUGAGCCUGCUGGAGCAAAAACAGAGAGGACCCUGAGACUACGUGGAGGGGGAGAUGGGCUCUGCUGAGCUCAGACAUCCAGCCGUCCCUGCCAAGGUGCCAGGCAUGUGAGUGUUGGACCUCUGACACAAGCUCAGAGUCAGCUGAAGUCCACCAACCCCAGGUGAAGUGACAAGGAGCAGAAGAAUUGCCCAAAUUCCUGACCUUCAACAUGGUUAAUAUUUCAAUCAAAACUACAGUUACAACUAUGCUUAAAGAAUGCACAGAAAGAGUUAACACGAUGCCUGAACCACGAGACAAGAACUCUUGACCCCUAGAGACAAAAGGAAGGGGAAAAUCAUCUUGCUGUUAUGUGCUGCUCUGCUUCCCACGAGUUUCUCACAGAUUUAUGGACCCUGAGAUAUUCUGAUUUUCAGAAAAAAAGGUAGAAAUUCAAUAAACUCAAUAAGCAGGUCUGCUUGUAGAUCUGGAAUUGCAUGGGAGAAAAACAUUCUAAUAGGGGCAACUAUAGUACAUUUUCUUUUUUCACUCAUUUACCUAAU
rnacentral:lncRNA from 1 species